AGUCUGAGUUGCAUUCAGAAAAUGUAGAUUAAUAGUCUGCAAGUCCUA
rnacentral:tRNA from 1 species